GGCGGCGGCGCUGGAAGUGGUGGCGCGGUGGGGCGCCUCGGUCCUCGCCUCCUAGGCUGGGCACUGUAGGAGCCGCCGGCUGUUUACAUUGUCCUACUUAAUAAUGGCUCCUGUUGACCCAGCGCCUCGCCCUGGAAGUGUAUUUCCCCUUUUAUCCUCACGGCCGGCCUCUGAGGGGAGUUCUUAGCCCCAUCGCGCAGCCCUAGGGACGCCCUAGCUGCUUCUGCGGUUGUGACCUGUGAUACUUCAGUAUUCUCUCUUUGCCUUUUCAAUUCUUCGGUUACUAAUGAACAGUUCUUCAUAUUUGAUUCUGCCUGUUAAAAUGACCGGUGUACUUUCUGUCUCCUGAUUGGACCCUGACUAAUAACACUCAUCAGAUCCCCAACCUGAGUGGGCUCAGGCUGUGACAGUUAGAAGCGGGAGCCAGCUCCCCACACCCCUGCCUGGCCUCCACUCCAAGGGGAAACAGCUGCUUCAGCCCCUUUUCUGGAAUCCUAUGGACUACAGAGGGAAGUGCCAUCUAAUCCGCCCUGGAAAAACCGGGCCAGCAGUUAAACCACACAAACAAAAGAGCUGCAGCUCCACAUAGAACGCCGUUGGGCCCAGGCCAAGACAAACAAACAGUCACAGCGAUCUGGGCCCCACCAAGGCUUCAGGCUUCCUGGGCCCCCACAGAGGGGGCUCGAGGAGGAGGGGCUGAAACCCCAGAGUCUCUCCUUCCUGGAUUCCAAGUCUCCCCUCACUCCCUCCAGGAUUCUCCAGAACAGGCUGCCCUGUUCUACUCUAAAACCUUCUGGAAAAUGUGGAGCUUUCCAUGGCUUACCUUCCUGGUACACAUCAAAGACCGUGAAGUGAACAUAAGGAGCUUCUGAAAAUAUCGCUGCCUGGACUUCACCAUUGAAUCAUCCUAAUAGUGGCUUCGGCUGAACCUCGGUGAGGAAGAUGCAACAGCAGGUGACCGUGUGACCUCCGCCACUAACCCCGGAGCUGCUCGUCACUUCUUCCCUGCAGACUUGGAGCAGCUGCCUCUGGCCUGGAGGGGAGCUCAGAGGGACCCGUGACUGACGCUCCCCUUGACCUCACUGGCCCCACCCAGGGACACUCUUCCUGGAAAAUGACCGUCUAGACUGCCAUCCUUAUUCUUGGUCUGGAGUUGCCAAUUCUAGAAUAUCCCUGAUGGAAAGGAACUUGCAGCCCAUCUGGUCCCAGUGUGGCAAACUUACCUCCUACCAAAGGCCACCUCUGCCUGAAGCAAUAAAUGGGGGUGGGGGGGUCAGAGUUCAGCUCAAGGACACUGUGGUCCAUUUGCUCCCGGGUGCAGUGUGGAGAGGGCAGAGGCCGCCAUGUGGGGUCCAUGCCACCUCUAGCCCAACUGCCCCCUCCUACAGAUGGGCAAACCGAGUAAGUGAAAUGAAAAUCCCUCCUAUUCCUUCACCUGACCCUCAACGUUAACCAGCUCUGACUGCCGUGUUAGCACAGGAGACGGGUUUGUGCGCCACCUGAACCAGCAUAGGGCAGGGCCUACAUCACACGUGGUGAUUACAACCAUCACACAAUUGGGAUCAUAGGCUAACGUCUAUGUCUUUUUGUCUUUCUUUAGAACUAUACUAAUAGAUUUCAGGAAACAAUUUAUUCACAAUCCACUUGACCUCCACCUCAAUGAACUGUAACCAUUAAAACCGUGUGUAUUUGUUACUUCAGCCAUUAAAAUAGUAUGUUUUAGAAAACAAUGGAAAUACUUGCUGGGACCCCUAAGACAGCCAGCUGGA